GUGAACGCUGGCGGUAGGCCUAACACAUGCAAGUCGAACGGCAGCACAGUAAGAGCUUGCUCUUACGGGUGGCGAGUGGCGGACGGGUGAGGAAUACAUGGGAAUCUACUUUUUCGUGGGGGAUAACGUAGGGAAACUGACGCUAAUAGCGCAUACGACCUACGGGUGAAAGCAGGGGAUGUUCGGACCUUGUGCGAUUGAAUGAGCCGAUGUCGGAUUAGCUAGUUGGCGGGGUAAAGGCCCACCAAGGCGACGAUCCGUAGCUGGUCUGAGAGGAUGAUCAGCCACACUGGAACUGAGACACGGUCCAGACUCCUACGGGAGGCAGCAGUGGGGAAUAUUGGACAAUGGGCGCAAGCCUGAUCCAGCCAUACCGCGUGGGUGAAGAAGGCCUUCUGGUUGUAAAGCCCUUUUGUUGGGAAAGAAAAGCAGCAGGUUAAUACCCCGCUGUUCUGACGGUACCCAAAGAAUAAGCACCGGCUAACUUCGUG
rnacentral:rRNA from 1 species